CUGAUAAGCAGUUUCAUAGCUUCACAACAGGUGCGGCUUGUUUCCUUAUUUCAUGACAAAUUAAGGAGAUAAAAGUUCUGAUGCUAUACUUUCUGCUCAGAUUCAGUCAAUUGCUGCUGAUAGGAGAGUGUUUCACAGUACAGAUGGUUAGUGACCCAAAAUGUAGUGCGAAAGCAAGAGCUUCUUAAGGCAAAUAAAUUAAAUGUUCUUAAAUGUCAGAUGACCUCAACUCCAUUGAGCAUGCUUUUCACUUACUGAGAGCAAAACUAAAGGCAGAAAGGUCUACAAACAUACAGCAACUGAAGGCCGGUGUAGUAAACACCUGGCAAAAUAUCUCAAGGUUUGGUGAUCUCCAUGGGUUCCAGAUGUCAGGCAGUCGUUGUAUGUAACGGAUUUGCAUUAAAUGAUGCCACAUACAGAUACUCUGUGCUGAGGCGGAUGGAGGAGCAGAGAGAGGAAGAAUCUGAUGAGGAUCUUUUGGAAUGAAACCAGGCGUGAUGUGGAAUUAUUAUUAGUAUAAAAAAAACAAUAAUAAUUCUCAGGAUUUUCUUCAGAAACAGUUUGUCCUUUUCAGCCCCAUCUUCCUUCUGUCCUUAGUUUUAAUGCCAAAACUAUUAUGGGUUUUUAAAGGUCACAUGGUGCUGGUUAAUGUUGUAAAUGUGAAUGGCAAGAUUAUUUAUUAAGAACUGCCUUCAGGAUCCAGAGUGAAGCGAUCAAAAAGUUUGGAACUGUGAAACACAGCCAAUGAGUCUGAGAUUUUAUUUAUUUUGUUGUUGUUAUUGUUUGUUACAGGAAAAUACAACCCACUAUUUUCAAUGUUACUCUAAUUUUUGAGUUUUAAUGGGUUGAGAAUAUGUUUGAUCUAAACCUUAACAACUCAAAAGCAACCGAACAUAACCUAACUUGAACCUAAUGUGUCCUGUUGGUGGAAAUUUCAGGAAUUAAAAGCUACAUGGCUCUGAUAAAUGGUCCAAAUAAGAUUGUACAUGUUUAAAUAAUAAGUCUAAUAUUUGACUAGUUGGAUCUUGUUUAAAUAAAUCUGAACUAAGGGGGUCCAUGGAAUUUAUUAAAGUUAAAGGGGUUCUUGGCUGCAAAAAGUUUGAGAACCUCAGCACUACAGUAUAACACAAUAAUUAAAUGGGCUUUGUCACUAUCCUUAAUCUGUAUUCCCACUAAUUAUAAGGAAUUUUAUGCUGAAAGUUUUUCCUCAUUGCUUAUUGUGUGUAGUGUAGGUAAAACAUUGCAUUUUUUUCACAUUAAGAUUUAUGGGCAAUUGUCUAAUCAGGUGACUCCCCUUGGGCUUUUGCGCAUAUUUGCUUUAGUUAAGGAUUUUGUAUUUCUUUCAGUUUUUCUAAAUGUGAGUAGGGGUUACAUAUGUGUUUGGUCUACCAGUAUGGUUAGCACAUUUUCCUCGCACCUUUGGGGUGCCAGGAAAUCCCCGCCUCUGCCCUGUGCAUGCAGAGCUGGCAUGUUCUCCCCAUGCUUCAGGGGUUUCCUCUGGGUACUCUGGUUUCUUCCCCCAGUCCAAAGACAUGCACUAUAUGUUGAUUGGCAUUUCCAAAUUGUCCUUAGUGUGUGAAUGGGUGUGUGCGAUUGUGCCCUGUGAUGAGUUGGCACCCUGUCCAGGGUGUCCCCCUGCCUUGUGCCCCGAGUUCCCUGGGAUAGACUCCAGGAUCAGCCUUGUGUAGCAUAAGUGGUACAGAAAUUGGAUGGAUGUUAAAUCAGUCUUGGGUUAACGUAUAUUGUUAGAUAAGUUAAACAAGGUUCUUUCUGUGUCAUUUUGUGUUGUAAUUGUUUUGUUUUGCUGCCUGAGAAUGUGAGUAGAUUUCCUUGUUAGAUUUUGUUGACUGUGUGAUUUAUGUAGUGCUUCAUUGUAUGAAUUGAUAUGUACCUCUGAAACACCUGAGAGAAAUUUUAUGACCUGAAAUUGUUUGAGUAAUUGCUGAAAAUUCACCACUCAGGAUUAAAGUUAUUUCAAACCCC
ensembl:lncRNA